CUAUAUAUUCCACUACUUGAUCUUUAAAUCAUGCAUGGCCUAGUUCCAGUGUACUUUCCCAGUUUUGUAUGCCAGUGUUCUCUUUCAUGUAAUACAUGUGAUAGUUCCUGACUUCCUCAGCUUUAUCUAAGUACUAAGGGCCUUCAGCGCAUAGCUCAAGUCUAAUCCCUGAAGCUUGUCACUUAAGGUCUUUGUCACUUAAGAAAUUACAUGUAUUACCUGAAGCCAGGGUGCCUGAGAAGAGCCUACCAAGCUAUAAUCUUUUUCCUGUUCCCCUCCAUAUAUGUCCAGUCUGUAGGGGUGGGUUUCUUCUCUAAUUUACUUAAGCUUCCAGCCUAUUUAAUUAAAUUAGGACAUCCUCAUUGAUCCUCAGCCCUGUUGGUUGGGCCCCUGAAUGCAACCCAUUUAAUUUUGGCUCUGAAUACAAGGCUCCCUGUUUGGGCAAUUGUCCAAACAAUUGCCUAGAGAUCUAAAUUCUUAGGUUCUUGCCAGUUUCAUCUCCUAUCAUUACAGCACAUGAUAUUGUUAUUUACCAUUCGGCUUCAAUUUUCUCUGCUUGUUCUCUAUGUGAGAACAAGUUCUCUUGUUCUCUGCUUGUUCUCAUAUGUGAAUGCUAGCCUGGAAUGUACUUAACUUUACCAUAUCCUUGAUUUGGCGUUAGAGCAGGGCAUAGCAAACUAAGGCCCUUGGGCCAAUGCAGCCCAACCAUUUUUUUUAAGUAAAGUUUUAAUGCAGCACAGCCAUCCCCAUUCAUUUACUUACUGUCUGUGACUGCACUACAAUGGGAGAGUUGAGUAGUUGCAACAGAGACAAUGUAACCUGUAAAGCCUUAAAUAUUUACUUCUGAACCUUUACAGAAAAUGUUUGUUGAUCCCUGAUCUAAAGCCAAGCAGUUCUCUCGACCUAGAUACUGCUUAUUCUUUGAUAAUUUCCCAUUCCCAUCUUGUUAACCAAUAAGGCCAGUUCAUUGAGACUAUGAAGAUAGCUUCCAACCCAUUCAAACUAUUUGCUUUUUCUUGAAUUUCCCUGCCUUCUCUUUCUCACCUUCCUAGAAUGCUAUUUCCUUGUGUUUUGCUUUUUAGCAGAAGAGAUGAAAUAGUAUUAAAGACUGUAAGAGUAGUCUCAUGAUGUCUUUUAAUUUAAUAUCUAGGCCCUAAUACACAACUCUUUGAAUAUUGCUACUAUCUUUCAGCAUGACUUUCCAAUACCAUUAAGAUUAAGCCUUUCUGUUCUUCAGUUUCUCUAACUCAAGUCUUCUAAGCUCCACAGCUUCCAACAUCUUUAAUUACCAGAUCUUCCCAAUAUUAUAACAUCCGUGCAUUCCAGUCCCUGUCCUGCAGCAUCUCCAAUGCCCUUGUUUUCUAAACUUCCCAGUAUUCAAGUCAUUAAAAAUUUAGGUCUUCUAAUAUCUCCAACAACCCAUCUUCAAAGUCCAGGUCUUGUCUUUCAGAAUCCAGAGUUCUAAAUUACAAGUCUUCCAUGGUCCUAAUCCUCCAAUGUCUCCUAUAUACAGGUCUUCUAGAGGCUAUGUAUUUCAUAGUGUUUAAGUCUAGAUUCUUCAAUGUCUUCCAGCACUUACAUCAUUCAGUUUUUACAUUUUUAAAUGUCUCCUACUUUCUAGUUUUACAGUGUAUUUUUAUCGCCAAUUCCUCCAAUGCCCAAGUCUUUAAAUACCUGCAAGAACUUUCAGGUACAUCAAUAUCCUCAAUGUCUGAAUGAAUAGACCUCUUAAUAUCCUGGUCUCAUAUUGUCCAGGCUGCCAGUAUUCUUGACAUCCAGCAUCUUUAAAAUUUAAUUCUUCCAAACUGUCUUUUUGACAUAAAUAUGUCAAUAUCCAUGCUUACCAAUGUCUCCCAAUAUCCAGGGCUUCUCAUUUUAGGAUUUAUAAAUGUCUACAUCUGCUGUUGUUUAUAUCUGCCAGUAUUUAGGAGUUCCAAGGUACAGGACUUACAAUAUCUCUAAUUUCCAGAGAUUUCAGUGUCUAUGACUUCCAAUAUUCAAUAUCCCAAUGUUCAGGGCCUCCAGAAAUAUCAAUGUCCAGAGUAACCAAUGUCUUCAAAAUCCAAGGCUUGCAAUGUCUCCAAUAUCCUGUGCUUACAAUGUUUCCAAUGUCCAG
rnacentral:lncRNA from 10 species